CUAGUACUCCCUCCGUCCGAAAAUACUUGUCCUACAAAUGAUUGUAUCUAGACUUAUUUUAGUUAUAAAUACAUUCGUCUUAUUCAUUUCUAAGACAAGUAUUUUCGGACGAAGAGAGUACUAG
rfam:Triticum aestivum genome assembly, contig: Triticum_aestivum_CS42_TGACv1_scaffold_114875_2AS